rnacentral:rRNA from 1 species
AGGGUGCGAGCGUUGUCCGGAAUUAUUGGGCGUAAAGGGCUCGUAGGCGGUUUGUCGCGUCGGGAGUGAAAACCCAGGGCUUAACCCUGGGCUGGCUUUCGAUACGGGCAGACUAGAGGUAUGCAGGGGAGAACGGAAUUCCUGGUGUAGCGGUGAAAUGCGCAGAUAUCAGGAGGAACACCGGUGGCGAAGGCGGUUCUCUGGCCCGGUUCUGACGCUGAGGCGCGAAAGCGUGGGGAGCAAACAGG